AAGACCACUUCUCCCAAAUUUGAGAAGGCCAUUUAAAUAUCCCAGAGAUACAAAUUAUAGCUAAGCAAACUUGGAAGGUCAUUUAACAAGGCUGGGUGGUGUAAACGGUAGCCAAUUUAUUUAGUGCACAAGAAGUUUUUGUCAGGCAGAAGCAACUUCGUAACUGGAGUUUUGAUGUGCACAAAGUAGACUUAUAUGUAUGCAUUCCAUCGCUGACCUGAUUUUGAGCCAGUGAUGCAAUCUAGGCAUCUUAGUGUGGUAUGUGUAUCUCUCUUCUGAUUAGGCAAAAUGUAUAUUUGUAAACCUCAGUUGUUUAAUGAUCCUAACAAAGGAUUAAUGAAUA
rnacentral:misc_RNA from 1 species